rnacentral:rRNA from 1 species
CCCGCUGAACUUAAGCAUAUCAAUAAGCGGAGGAAAAGAAACUAACAAGGAUUCCCCUAGUAACUGCGAGUGAAGCGGGAAAAGCUCAAAUUUAAAAUCUGGUGGUCUCUGGCCAUCCGAGUUGUAAUUUAGAGAAGCGUCUUCCGCGCCGGGCCGUGCACAAGUCUCCUGGAAUGGAGCGUCAUAGAGGGUGAGAAUCCCGUCUUUGGCACGGAUGCCUGUGCUUCUGUGAUGCGCUCUCGAAGAGUCGAGUUGUUUGGGAAUGCAGCUCAAAAUGGGUGGUGAACUCCAUCUAAAGCUAAAUAUUGGCGAGAGACCGAUAGCGAACAAGUACCGUGAGGGAAAGAUGAAAAGCACUUUGGAAAGAGAGUGAAACAGUACGUGAAAUUGUUGAAAGGGAAACGCUUGAAGUCAGUCGCGUCGACCGAGACUCAGCCUUGCCUUGGCUUGGUGUACUUCUCGGCCCGACGGGUCAGCAUCAAUUUUGACCGCCGGAUAAAGGUCGGGGGAAUGUGGCAUCCUUCGGGAUGUGUUAUAGACCUCGAUUCGGAUACGGCGAUUGGGAUUGAGGAACUCGGCGCUUUGCGUCCAGGAUGCUGGCAUAAUGGCUUUAAGCGACCCGUCUUGAAACACGG